GGGGAUAUAGCUCAGUUGGUAGAGUGCUUGCCUUGCAUGCACAAGGCCCUGGGUUCAAUCCCCAGCACCCCCC
rnacentral:tRNA from 1 species